UACGGAGGGUGCAAGCGUUGUCCGGAAUCACUGGGCGUAAAGGGCGCGUAGGCGGCUCAUGAAGGCUGUGGUGAAAGUCCGGGGCUCAACCUCGGAUCGGCCGUGGCGACUCGUGGGCUGGAGCACUGUAGAGGCGGGUGGAAUUCCGGGUGUAGCGGUGAAAUGCGCAGAUAUCAGGAGGAACACCGGUGGCGAAGGCGGGUCUCUGGGCCGAUAUUGACGCUGAGGAGCGAAAGCGUGGGGAGCAAACAGG
rnacentral:rRNA from 1 species